AUUGAACGCUGGCGGCAGGCUUAACACAUGCAAGUCGAGCGGAGAGAGGUAGCUUGCUACCGAUCUUAGCGGCGGACGGGUGAGUAAUGCUUAGGAAUCUGCCUAUUAGUGGGGGACAACAUUUCGAAAGGAAUGCUAAUACCGCAUACGUCCUACGGGAGAAAGCAGGGGAUCUUCGGACCUUGCGCUAAUAGAUGAGCCUAAGUCGGAUUAGCUAGUUGGUGGGGUAAAGGCCUACCAAGGCGACGAUCUGUAGCGGGUCUGAGAGGAUGAUCCGCCACACUGGGACUGAGACACGGCCCAGACUCCUACGGGAGGCAGCAGUGGGGAAUAUUGGACAAUGGGCGCAAGCCUGAUCCAGCCAUGCCGCGUGUGUGAAGAAGGCCUUAUGGUUGUAAAGCACUUUAAGCGAGGAGGAGGCUACUUUAGUUAAUACCUAGAGAUAGUGGACGUUACUCGCAGAAUAAGCACCGGCUAACUCUGUGCCAGCCGCCGCCGUAACAC
rnacentral:rRNA from 1 species